CCCGGGGUCAACCGGGUUGGAAGCAGAUGAGCCUCCUUCCGACUAAUAGGCAGAGCGUCGGCGGUAGCCUGGCCGGCCUCGCAACGCCUCCCUCCUCUCCUGUUCCCAUCACCUCCCCUCAGGGUAGGCGUUUCAUCGGCUCACAGCUACACCAGGAGGGAGACUGGAAUUCCCAGAAGACCAUGCAAAACAAAACAAAGCCACAAGUCACACUGUAUUUUGUGUGUGAGAGGAAGAGGAGGAAAUCAUCUCUCUUUUGUUUGGGAAGGUUUGCUUUGAUGCCUUUUCCCUUAUUUCUUGCUCCUCACGUCCCAAAACCUGCUGGUGCCUAAUGUCCUAAGCGCCACCGAGACCCUUUGGGAGGAUUUGACUCUACCUCAAAGUGUGAACACUGACAUGCCCAGAGGACAAGAUGCUCAAGAACCUGGAAGAAGGAACUCCAAUGGGAGAACUGAAAUCAUGAGAUGAGCCAUGGGAGGGAUUUGGGGGAUGUAACAGAAAAUUUCAAACCUCAGCAAAACCGGUGACUGAUAUUUUGUUUCUCCCUUCCUUCAACAAACCAUCGAAUGUAUACUAUGCAUUUGGCACUGGGCUAUUUGAAUGACAUUGAUGGGUAACUACAAAAAAAAAGGAUCUUUUUGAGGAGAUAGACCAUCAGCGAAUCGUGUAAGUAACUGUAAAGUUGCCACUGUGUGUUAGAAAAGAGAAGUUAGGGCUUGAGUGGUGGUGAGUGGGGGCACUUCCAGGGAAAGAGGAUGUCAGACUCAAGGCCCUGUAGCCAGAGAGAACCUAGCUAGUUGGAGAGAUUAAAAGAAAGUCAGUGUGGCCAUUAAAGAUUUGGUUAAAAAAAAAAUCACUCUGGCUGCUCUGUAGACAAGAGUCAAAGUGGAUGAGGAGAAUUCUUCGGGAGGCCACGUGUAGCUUAUAGAACCUGAAGUCUGGAAAACAGCCGGCCUCAAGAGAGUCUGGAACCUAGCCCUGAAAGCUUCUGUGUCUCUGCCUCUCUCUUUGUCUCUCUCUCUCCUUUGUCUCUCCCCCCUCCCUUUGUCUCUCCCCCUCUCCCUUUCUUUCCUCUAUCUCCCUCCUCCUCCUCUCCCUAUCCCCCUAUUUUUCUUCUCUCCCUCUGUUUUCUCAUAUUCUUUUGCUGCCUCCUUCACAUACCUGCAUUAUCCGUUGUUCUCUCUGCACCCAGAUUAGACUUUACCUAAUCUUCCACUUCAAAGACCUAGAAGAAAGAGAGAGUGGGGCACCUGGGUGGCUCAGUUGGUUAAGCGGCUGCCUUCGGCUCAAGUCAUGAUCUCAGGGUCCUGGGAUCAA